CCUACGGGAGGCAGCAGUGGGGAAUAUUGGACAAUGGGGGGAACCCUGAUCCAGCGACGCCGCGUGAGUGAAGAAGGAUUUCGGUAUGUAAAGCUCUAUCAGCAGGGAAGAAAAUGACGUUACCUGACUAAGAAGCCCCUGCUAACUACGUGCCAGCAGCCGCGGUAAUACGUAGGGGGCAAGCGUUCUCCGGAUUUACGGGGUGUAAAGGGGGCGUAGACGGUGCAGCAAGUCUGAUGUGAAAGGUCGGGGCUCAACCCCGGGACUGCAUUGGAAACUGUUGAACUGGAGUACAGGAGAGGUAAGCGGAAUUCCUAGUGUAGCGGUGAAAUGCGUAGAUAUUAGGAGGAACACCAGUGGCGAAGGCGGCUUACUGGACUGUAACUGACGUUGAGGCUCGAAAGCGUGGGGAGCAAACAGGAUUAGAUACCCCUGUAGUC
rnacentral:rRNA from 1 species